GACGAACGCUGCGGCGUGCUUCAUGCAUGCAAGUCGAGCGAGGACAGACCGGAUCUUCGGAUUUGGUUUGAGCCGAGCGGCGGACGGGUGCGUAACACGUGGGUAAUCUGCCCACCAGACGGGGAUAACCCCGGGAAACCGGGGCUAAUACCGGAUGCGGCCUAGAUCCCGCAUGGGGUCUGGGUCAAAGCAUGGCCUCUGAUACAAGCUAUGGCUGGUGGAUGAGCCCGCGGCCCAUUAGCUCGUUGGUGGGGUAACGGCCUACCAAGGCGACGAUGGGUAGCCGGCCUGAGAGGGUGGUCGGCCACACUGGGACUGAGACACGGCCCAGACUCCUACGGGAGGCAGCANGUAGGGAAUUUUGGACAAUGGGGGAAACCCUGAUCCAGCGACGCCGCGUGCGCGACGAAGCCUUCGGGUUGUAAAGCGCUGUCAUCCGGGACGAAGGUCCUCUCUUCGAAGAGGGGAGAGGAAUGACGGUACCGGAGGAGGAAGCCCCGGCUAACUACGUGCCAGCAGCCCGCGGUAAUACGUAGGGGGCGAGCGUUGU
rnacentral:rRNA from 1 species